UAUGUACUCCCUCCGUUCCAAAUUACUUGUCUUGGAUUUGUCUAGAUAAGGAGGUAUCUAGCACUAAAAUGAGUCUAGAUACAUCCGUAUCUAGACAAAUCCAAGACAAGUAAUUCGGAACAGAGGGAGUAGCUC
rfam:Triticum urartu cultivar G1812 contig710927, whole genome shotgun sequence.